rnacentral:rRNA from 1 species
ACGGGCCUCGACUGUUUACCAAAAACAUAGCCCUCGGCUAAUAUGAAAAUAGAUGUAUAGAGGGUGAUGCCUGCCCAAUGGUUGUAUCUAASAGCGGUUGAUAAAAGUCGACCUCGUAAGGACAAUUGAAUGGCCGCGGUAACACUGACCGUGAUAAUGUAGCGUAAUCAAUAGCCAAUUAAUUGUUGGCCAGUAUGAAUGGCGCCACGAAGGCCCCACUGUCUUAAGGAAAUUCCCAGUGAAAUUGAAUUCGUAGUGAAGAUGCUACGUCCAAUUUGUUAGACGAAAAGACCCCGUUGAGCUUUACUGGAGCACUUAUAUGGCCCCGGCCUUCCCAUGCCUGGGAACCGGCCGAAUUUAAAUGGGCGGCUUAGAUUAUGUGGCAGCCCCCCGCUGGGGCAAAUGAAACACCACUCCCCCAUGUCAAAGGGGCUAACCCCCCCCUUGGGGGGGACAGUGUAAGUAGGACAGUUUGGUUGGGGCGACCGCCUUUUAAAAAGUAACGAAGGUGCGCUUAAGGUGUGCAAUUAAUGACUGAAGCCUGACUGCGAGGGGGGUACCCCGAGCAGACACCCCUAAGCCCGCCCGAAGGGCGGCGGUGGGGUGGGCCAUAGUGACCCGUUAAUUUAGAGUGGAAUAGUUAACGAUCAACGAAUAAAAGUUACCACGGGGAUAACAGCGUAAUAUCGUUAGAGAGUU